rnacentral:rRNA from 1 species
GACGGAGGGCGCGAGCGUUGUCCGGAUUUAUUGGGCGUAAAGAGCUCGUAGGCGGCUUGGUGCGUCGACCGUGAAAACUUGGGGCUUAACCCUAAGCUUGCGGUUGAUACGGGCAGGCUAGAGUUCGGUAGGGGAGAGUGGAAUUCCUGGUGUAGCGGUGAAAUGCGCAGAUAUCAGGAGGAACACCGGUGGCGAAGGCGGGUCUCUGGGCCGAUACUGACGCUGAGGAGCGAAAGCGUGGGGAGCGAACAGG